GUCGGUUUUGAUACAGACCCACGUAUGCGAGCAAUUUUAGUAAAGCAGUCUUCAGUUCAAGCGUUAUUUCAAGCUUCUUCCUGACUUCCUUCUGAGUGCCUCAUAGUAAUCCCUGUUGACGAACCCUGUGCCCACUGUGGCUUACUACAAUUUUGAAGGAAAGACCCAUGUCCCAGACUGGUUUAGUAAAAUGGUUUAACGCUGAGAAAGGUUUCGGCUUCAUUUCCCCAACUGACGGCAGCAAAGAUGUGUUCGUACACUUCUCUGCAAUCCAGGAUUCAGGUUUCAAAACCCUGGAAGAAGGCCAGAAAGUUAACUUUACUAUCGAAAACGGCCAGAAAGGCCCAGCAGCUGCUAACGUAACUGUUGCCUAAGUCCUCUUUCCGCUCCGGCGGUAACAGAACUUAGUUCGAAGUAAAGAAAACCCGCCCCCGUGGCGGGUUUUUUGCG
rfam:Triticum urartu cultivar G1812 contig123071, whole genome shotgun sequence.